AAUAAAUCAGUGGAUGCUUACAUUGACUUGAGAGAGAUCAGAACAUUUCGAAAGAACAAUUACCCGUAUGCAACAAGAAAUAGAAUAUUUUGACAUUGUCAAAAAGUAAAAUGCAAUAACACAAACAUGUCAGUAUUCGAAGAUGAAUAAGAAUAUGAUCAUGCUAAUUAUGUUUUGUCUAUUGACAUAAUAAAAAAAAAUUGUCACCCGCUCAGCCAUGUGAUAGAGUAAAUUAACACCC
rnacentral:lncRNA from 1 species